GAUGAACGCUAGCGGGAGGCUUAAUACAUGCAAGUCGAGGGGUAAGGUGCAGCUUGCUGCAUACACGACCGGCGAACGGGUGCGUAACGCGUACACAACUUGCCUUAUACAGAGGGAUAGCCCUUGGAAACGAGGAUUAAUACCACAUAGCCUAUUAAAACGUCAUCGUUUAAAUAGUAAAGCUCAGGCGGUAUAAGAUGGGUGUGCGUCCCAUUAGAUUGUUGGUGAGGUAACGGCUCACCAAGUCGACGAUGGGUAGCGGGCGUGAGAGCGCGAUCCGCCACACGGGCACUGAGACACGGGCCCGACUCCUACGGGAGGCAGCAGUAAGGAAUAUUGGUCAAUGGAGGAAACUCUGAACCAGCCAUCCCGCGUGAAGGAUGACGGCCCUAUGGGUUGUAAACUUCUUUUAUAUACCAAGAAACGCGUCGAUUCAUCGAUGCCUGACGGUAGUAUAUGAAUAAGCACCGGCUAACUCCG
rnacentral:rRNA from 1 species